ACUCCAGCAGGAUUACUGAAACAACUUCAGGAUGGUCUCUUUCUCUUCUGCAGACUGAGGAAGAUCAACUAUCCUGAUGUGAACAUGUUAGAUCUUGACCGGUGGCUUUUGUCCACUCACAAGAUGGCCAGGGUCCUCCAUGGAGGACAAGUUCCAGUUGGAAAGAAAGCAGAAGGACCUUUCCUGUAAGACUUCAUAUUUUAAUAAGAGAGGGUCUUUCCAAGAUGGAGGUAUAUUUUAUGAGCCAGAUUUUGUCUUAUGCCCACCUCUAUAUGCAAAGAAGUCGGGGAAAUUACAUAGUCUGUUUUCUGUUGCAAUAACACAAUAACACUGGCUGGUUUAAUUAUAAAAAGAAAAGAGGUUUAUUUUAAUUCACAGUUUUGGUCCAAGGUCAAGGGGCUGCCAGCAUCUGAUGAUGACCUUCUUGCUGGCAGAGUCCAAAGGCAGUGGAGGUAUUAAGUGGCAAGUGACAAGGAACAUGCUUGUGUGUCCUGGUCUCUCUUCUUCUUCUUUUGAAGCUACCCCUAUUCAAUGAUGGGGUGCCAUGUUGAUGACCUUAUAUAAUGCUAGUUGUCUCUUCAAGGUCCCACCUCUAAAUUCUAUAAGUGGAUUAAGUUUUCACCCUCUUAAUACUUGACAAUGGGGAUUAAAUUUCAACUUGAGUUUCAGAGGGAACAAACCAUAUUCAAACCAUAACAUUAUCCCAAUCAAAAUAGAAAUUCUCAUGAAGUUUUAAAAUGGAAAUUUAUAUUAGGUAGGUAGUUUGUAAUUGUUUGUAAUUGUAAUUGUUGCCAAAACUUACUUCCAGGUUUUUGUUUCUCUAUUCUUAUAUGAUACUUGCCAAGCAGACUUUUUGUUUUGUUUUAUAUUUUAGGAAGUCAACUCUAUCAACUUUUUCCUUGGUGGUUUCUGUGUUUGAUUUCAUAUUUAGAAGGAUUUUCCAAUUUUUAUGUUAAAAUUUUCAUUUUAAAUGAUUGUAAUUCACAUGUAGUUGUAAAAAAUAGUAGAGAACGAUCUCAUAAACCCUUUACCAUUUACCUUAAUGGUAGUAAUAUCUCGCCAAAUGACAGCAUCUCAACC
rnacentral:lncRNA from 1 species